UGGGGAAUUUUGGACAAUGGGCGAAAGCCUGAUCCAGCAAUGCCGCGUGUGUGAAGAAGGCCUUCGGGUUGUAAAGCACUUUUGUCCGGAAAGAAAUCCUUGGCUCUAAUACAGUCGGGGGAUGACGGUACCGGAAGAAUAAGCACCGGCUAACUACGUGCCAGCAGCCGCGGUAAUACGUAGGGUGCAAGCGUUAAUCGGAAUUACUGGGCGUAAAGCGUGCGCAGGCGGUUUGCUAAGACCGAUGUGAAAUCCCCGGGCUCAACCUGGGAACUGCAUUGGUGACUGGCAGGCUAGAGUAUGGCAGAGGGGGGUAGAAUUCCACGUGUAGCAGUGAAAUGCGUAGAGAUGUGGAGGAAUACCGAUGGCGAAGGCAGCCCCCCUGGGCCAAUACUGACGCUCAUGCACGAAAGCGUGGGGAGCAAACAGGAUUAGAUACCCCUGGUAGUCCACGCCCUAAACGAUGUCAACUAGUUGUUGGGGAUUCAUUUCCUUAGUAACGUAGCUAACGCGUGAAGUUGACCGCCUGGGGAGUACGGUCGCAAGAUUAAAACUCAAAGGAAUUGACGGGGUCAUAGCUGUUUCCU
rnacentral:rRNA from 1 species